rnacentral:rRNA from 1 species
ACAUGAGUAACGAUAAAGCGGGUAAGAAACCCGCUCGCCGUAAACCUAAGGUUUCCUUGAGUAAAGCUAAUCUGCUCAGGGUUAGUCGAUCCCUAAGCCGAGGCCGAAAGGCGUAGGCGAUGGAAAACAGGUUAAUAUUCCUGUACCACCAUCUUAUCAUUAUAAAGCGAUGGGGUGACACAGGAGGGUAGGUCAUCCGUCUGUUGGAAUAGACGGUUUAAGCCCGUAGGCGGAAAGAACAGGUAAAACUGUUCUUUUUUUAACGCUGAGAGGUGAUGAGGAGUCU